rnacentral:rRNA from 1 species
GACGAACGCUGGCGGCGUGCUUAACACAUGCAAGUCGAACGGAAAGGCCCUGCUUUUGUGGGGUGCUCGAGUGGCGAACGGGUGAGUAACACGUGAGUAACCUGCCCUUGACUUUGGGAUAACUUCAGGAAACUGGUGCUAAUACCGGAUAGGAGCUCCUGCUGCAUGGUGGGGGUUGGACAGUUUCGGCGGUUGGGGAUGGACUCGCGGCUUAUCAGCUUGUUGGUUGGGUAGUUGCUUACCAAGGCUUUGGCGGGUGGCCGGCCUGGGAGGGUGACCGGCCACAUUGCGACUGAGAUACGGAGCAGACUCCAACGGGAGGCAGCAGUGGGGAAUAUUGCACAAUGGGCGGAAGCCUGAUGCAGCAACGCCGCGUGCGGGAUGACGGCCUUCGGGUUGUAAACCGCAUUCGCCUGUGACGAAGCGUGAGUGACGGUAAUGGGUAAAGAAGCACCGGCUAACUACGUG